UUCCUCUGUCUGAAUCUUUAAGCUUAGAUGUGUAGUGGUAUAGAAAUAGACAUAAUUUCACACAAAUAGUUUCCAGGUGAGAAGUUCCGGUUCUUGAAGUGGGCGUGGUGUAUAUAAGGGAGCUGCUGCGUUCAUUCAGGCAUGUGUCUUUGUUCUCCCACUGUGUGGCUUGCGUCUAGUGGACUUUGGCAGCAGAAAGCAACAAAUCGCUGGCUGUUGCUGAGGUCCGGUGGCGGUGUUGGUGUGGUGACGGUGUCUUCCUCGUCUGUGUGCUGUGAUUCUGGAGUUUGGGUUGUCUCACUGCGUCUGGUGUUAAAGGUUUUUUUGAUUUGCUGCGUUUGGUGGAUGUCGUCCCCAUAGCGCCCCCUCCGGCCGGUAACCUCAACUGCUGCAGCUCUUCUAUUUUCGUUGAUUUCUUUAGUUUAAUUUUUAAAAGGAAACUGAUUUUAAAAAUAUUUCAAAAGAAUUUAAUAAACGUAUUUUUUAUAAUUUUGAAACGGUCUCAGAUGUUUUACUCUAUGCAUGACUGAACCUGUGUGCCUUAAACAAGAGGUAAUAUUCCCAGGGUGGCGUUGUUGAGCAAUUUACUAAAAUUAAACUUCCACAAAAUCUGAAUUCCCAUCUAGUGUUGCCACAUUUUUGGCGCUGUUGGCAGGAUUAUGC